rnacentral:rRNA from 1 species
GUUGUAUGGUUAAGUGACUAAGCGUACACGGUGGAUGCCUUGGCAGUCAGAGGCGAUGAAAGACGUAGUAACUUGCGAUAAGCCCAGAUUAGGUAGUAACAACCAUUUGAGUCUGGGAUUUCUGAAUGGGGAAACCCACGUGCAUAAGCACGUAUCCUUACCUGAAUACAUAGGGUAAGGAGGCGAACCGGGGGAACUGAAACAUCUAAGUACCCCGAGGAAAAGAAAUCAACCGAGAUUCCGAAAGUAGCGGCGAGCGAAAUUGGACUAGCCCUUAAGCUUUACACGCGUUAGACGAACGGUCUGGAAAGUCCGACGAUACAGGGUGAUAGUCCCGUAGUUGACGACGUGUGUUCAGUGAAAUCGAGUAGGGCGGGACACGUGAUAUCCUGUCUGAAUAUGGGGGGACCAUCCUCCAAGGCUAAAUACUACUGACUGACCGAUAGUGAACCAGUACCGUGAGGGAAAGGCGAAAAGAACCCCUGUGAGGGGAGUGAAAUAGAACCUGAAACCGUGUACGUACAAGCAGUAGGAGCAGGCUUUGUCCUGUGACUGCGUACCUUUUGUAUAAUGGGUCAGCGACUUAUAUUCAGUGGCAAGGUUAACCAUCUAGGGGAGCCGUAGGGAAACCGAGUCUUAACUGGGCGUUCAGUCUCUGGAUAUAGACCCGAAACCAGGUGAUCUAGCCAUGGGCAGGUUGAAGGUUGAGUAACAUCAACUGGAGGACCGAACCGACUAAUGUUGAAAAAUUAGCGGAUGACUUGUGGCUAGGGGUGAAAGGCCAAUCAAACCUGGAGAUAGCUGGUUCUCCCCGAAAGCUAUUUAGGUAGCGCCUCGGACGAAUACUACUGGGGGUAGAGCACUGUUAAGGCUAGGGGGUCAUCCCGACUUACCAACCCUUUGCAAACUCCGAAUACCAGUAAGUACUAUCCGGGAGACACACGGCGGGUGCUAACGUCCGUCGUGGAGAGGGAAACAACCCAGACCGCCAGCUAAGGUCCCAAAUUACUACUAAGUGGGAAACGAUGUGGGAAGGCUCAGACAGCCAGGAUGUUGGCUUAGAAGCAGCCAUCAUUUAAAGAAAGCGUAAUAGCUCACUGGUCGAGUCGGCCUGCGCGGAAGAUGUAACGGGGCUAAGUAGUAAACCGAAGCUGCGGCAAUGUGCUUUUGCACAUUGGGUAGGGGAGCGUUCUGUAAGCGGUUGAAGGUGUGUGGUAACGCAUGCUGGACGUAUCAGAAGUGCGAAUGCUGACAUGAGUAACGAUAAAGGGGGUGAAAAACCUCCUCGCCGGAAGACCAAGGGUUCCUGUCCAACGUUAAUCGGGGCAGGGUAAGUCGACCCCUAAGGCGAGGCCGAAAGGCGUAGUCGAUGGGAAACGGGUUAAUAUUCCCGUACUUCUUACAAUUGCGAUGGGGGGACGGAGAAGGCUAGGUGGGCCUGGCG